GAUGAACGCUGGCUACAGGCUUAACACAUGCAAGUCGAGGGGAAACGGCAUUGAGUGCUUGCACUGAAUGGACGUCGACCGGCGCACGGGUGAGUAACGCGUAUCCAACCUUCCCGUUACUGCGGGAUAACCUGCCGAAAGGCAGACUAAUACCGCAUGUUCUUCGAUGACGGCAUCAGAUUCGAAGCAAAGAUCCGUCGGUAACGGAGGGGGAUGCGUCUGAUUAGCUAGUUGGCGGGGCGACGGCCCACCAAGGCGACGAUCAGUAGGGGUUCUGAGAGGAAGGUCCCCCACAUUGGAACUGAGACACGGUCCAAACUCCUACGGGAGGCAGCAGUGAGGAAUAUUGGUCAAUGGGCGGAAGCCUGAACCAGCCAAGUAGCGUGCAGGAUGACGGCCCUACGGGUUGUAAACUGCUUUUGUAUGGGGAUAAAGUCAAUCACGUGUGAUGUUGCAGUCCA
rnacentral:rRNA from 1 species